UCUCGCGUAGCUCAAAUGGUGAGAGCGGUGGAUUGUUAAUCCAUAGGUUAGUGGUUCGAGUCCAUUCGCGGGAGCCA
rnacentral:tRNA from 1 species